rnacentral:lncRNA from 1 species
GUCGCGGUAAAACUGGAGUUGUCUCCAAUAUAAAAAUUACUUCUGAUGAAGCGUGUUCAUUUUAGUCUAGUUUUGGCAACUAGUGUUCAUUUACAAAAAUACUUAAUAUGUUUGAAAUUGAUAAAUACUUUCAAAAUAUUAACUUGAAAAAGAUAUAUACAUAUUUAAAAUUGACCAACUGGAUUGGCGUCUUUCUCUAACUAUUGAAAAUGAUAAUUUUUCUAUAAAAUGAUACAUUGGCUUAACUCAUACGCCUUAACAUGAGUUUUAAGAACUUUUAAAUAUACAUUCUAAAAA